ACUCCUACGGGAGGCAGCAGUGGGGAAUAUUGGACAAUGGGCGCAAGCCUGAUCCAGCCAUGCCGCGUGAGUGAUGAAGGCCCUAGGGUUGUAAAGCUCUUUCACCGGUGAAGAUAAUGACGGUAACCGGAGAAGAAGCCCCGGCUAACUUCGUGCCAGCAGCCGCGGUAAUACGAAGGGGGCUAGCGUUGUUCGGAUUUACUGGGCGUAAAGCGCACGUAGGCGGACUAUUAAGUCAGGGGUGAAAUCCCGGGGCUCAACCCCGGAACUGCCUUUGAUACUGGUAGUCUUGAGUUCGAGAGAGGUGAGUGGAAUUCCGAGUGUAGAGGUGAAAUUCGUAGAUAUUCGGAGGAACACCAGUGGCGAAGGCGGCUCACUGGCUCGAUACUGACGCUGAGGUGCGAAAGCGUGGGGAGCAAACAGGAUUAGAAACCCCAGUAGUCCC
rnacentral:rRNA from 1 species